UCUGACCCAUAUCUGCAUUUUAUUGAACAAAUGAAUUUGGCUACUAAAGACUCCGUGAUUUCAGACUGAGGUCCGCCUCCAAGGGUCUGAUCUGUGUCAGCUAAAACCAGAGCUGGUGGUGACCAACUACAUCGAUGAACUCGCUCCCUCCUUCUCUCCCUUUCUCCAUCCUUCGGAGAUCUAAUGGCACAGUUCCAGCUGUGAGACGUGGCACCCUUGAGCUUCCUUGUUACAAGCUUGGAGAGAUAGCAUCAGGGUGCCAAGCAGGAUCCUGGGAUGACAUCUUAGAUAUUCCUUCACCAAGAAUAGAUAACAGAGCAGGAACCAAAAAUUUCCUGGUGCCUCACUCCAAGUUGCAAUAUCAGCUCUUGCCAUAAAAAUAGGCUCUUCCCGGGCCCUGAUGGGCUCUGUCUCAUCAGAUGCCAUGUAGGAAAGGAAAGCCCAGCAGCUACAGGACCAAGAGCUGAGUCAUUCUCCAAGACAGAGCAAGCGAAGAAUGCUCCUGCCUGUGAUGGGACCACACCCCUCUGCUCAUGUCAGCAAGCCCAUAGCUGCAGGACUGCUGGUAACCAUGGGAUGUUCAGAAGCCAUUUGCAACUGAGUCGGAGAGGGAGGAAAUGGAGACUCAUGCUUAUGAGCAGCUUGUGUCAUGCAGGGGGUUGUCAUGUUCCCAGUAAACACACAACAAGGAAACUAUACCCUAAAGCCAUACUCUUUCCUUGCCAAAAAGC
ensembl:lincRNA Gm42952 predicted gene 42952